AGGAGGCGGGGCCUGCCGGUUGGCCAGCCGUGGGAUGGGCUUGUUUGGCCAGCAGUGGGCGUGGCCUGGCUGGCUGACCGGCCGGGGGCGGGGCCUGGGCCGCGGCCGCAAUCCGGGCCUCCAGGACUCUCGCUGCCAGCGCCGUCCGGUGGCCUGGGUCACUCCCCUCCGUCGGGGCCGAGUGCUGUGACAGCCGCGGCCUUGAGCCGAGGGGCAGCGCAGCUUCUUAAGUUGGGCUUGCUGUGGGGCACGAUGCUGGGGUCUGUGCGUGCGGUGUGAGGCGGCGGCUCUGGGCGGCGGGCCGAGCCGGGGCCGCUCAUGGUGCCGCCACGACUCCAUCGAGGGGCAGGAAGGCCAGGUGGGCUGAGUUCUUUACCUCCAUUUGGACUGGGCUCUGCCCGCUUUGCAGGCAUUGCAUUUGAGGAUCUCAGAGAAGCCCUUGCAACAAGACUGCAAAUGGUUUAUGUGUUUAUCAUGAACCGUGUGAAUUCCCAGAGCAGUGGUUUCAGUCAGCGCAGGCGAAUGGCCCUGGGGAUAGUGAUUCUCCUGCUGGUUGAUGUGAUAUGGGUGGCAUCCUCAGAACUCACCUCGUAUGUCUUCACGCAGUACAACAAGCCAUUCUUCAGCACCUUUGCGAAAACAUCCAUGUUUGUUCUGUACCUUUUGGGCUUCAUUAUUUGGAAGCCUUGGAGGCAACAGUGUACAAGAGGAUUUAGAGGGAAGCCUGCUGCUUUUUUUGCAGAUGCUGAAGGUUACUUUGCUGCGUGCACAACAGAUACAAGCAUGAGUAGUUCUUUGAGUGAACCUCUUUAUGUUCCUGUGAAGUUUCAUGAUCUCCCAAGUGAGAAGCUCGAGAGCACAAACAUUGGGACCGAAAAGACUCCCAAGAAGUCCCGUGUAAGGUUCAGCAAUAUCAUGGAGAUUCGCCAGCUCCCAUCGAGCCAUGCGUUAGAGGCCAAGCUCUCUCGGAUGUCUUAUCCCACUGUGAAAGACCAAGAAUCCAUACUGAAGACUGUAGGGAAAUUGACUGCAACCCAAGUAGCAAAAAUUAGCUUUUUUUUUUGCUUUGUGUGGUUUUUGGCAAAUUUGUCAUACCAAGAAGCACUUUCAGACACACAGGUUGCCAUAGUGAAUAUUUUGUCUUCAACUUCUGGACUUUUUACUUUAAUCCUUGCAGCUGUAUUUCCGAGUAACAGCGGAGACAGGUUUACCCUCUCUAAACUAUUAGCUGUAAUUUUAAGCAUUGGAGGUGUGGUGCUGGUGAACCUGUCUGGGUCUGAAAAGUCUGCUGGAAGAGACACAAUAGGUUCCAUUUGGUCCCUUGCUGGAGCUAUGUUCUAUGCUGUCUACAUUGUGAUGAUCAAGAGAAAGGUAGACAGAGAAGAUAAAUUGGAUAUUCCAAUGUUCUUUGGUUUUGUAGGUCUGUUUAAUCUGCUGCUCCUAUGGCCAGGGUUCUUCUUACUGCAUUAUACUGGCUUUGAGGACUUUGAGUUUCCCAACAAAGUGGUACUGUUGUGUAUCAUUAUCAACGGCCUCAUCGGAACAGUUCUGUCCGAGUUUCUGUGGUUAUGGGGCUGCUUUCUUACCUCGUCGUUGAUAGGCACACUUGCACUAAGCCUUACGAUACCUCUCUCCAUCAUAGCCGACAUGUGCAUGCAAAAGGCGCUAUCCCUGUAUUUUUUUCAUUUUUUAUUGUUACUCUCCUGUGCCAUUAUAAUAAUUGGGAUCCUGUGAUGGUAGGAGUCAGAAGAGUUUUUGCCUUUAUAUGCAGAAAACAUCGAAUUCAGAGAGUUCCAGAAGACAGUGAACAGUGCGAGAGCCUCAUUUCUAUGCACAGCGUUUCUCAAGAGGAUGGAGCUACUUAGCUGCUGUGGUCUGCAGUCCAGCUUAAUGGAACAUUGUACAGUGAAGAGACGACCUGGCAAGUUCUUUGUAGACGUGUUUCAGUGCCUCGUCUGAACAGGAGCCGUUUCACUUCUUUGAAACUCUACAUUUUCCACACGUCUGCUUCAUUUUCAAAAUGAAGGAUGUUUCCCGUAGGUUUUGUGCAGUCCAGUUGCCCUAAAGGACCAACCUGCCUUACGUAUCAGUUUAGUUCCUGAAAUCAGUGGAACUAUUCAAGGGACGGAACUCCUCUGGAGACUCUGUUUAAACAUACUUUUCAGUUCCCGAGAGACCACCUAAGUAAGAUGACAUUUCUGACAGGCGGGUGCCAGUCUGCACUGCCCGCAGUGAGUGCAGGUUCUGUUUUUGAGUUUGGUAGUUUGCAAAGUGAGUACACUGAAGAAACGUUAGUUAGUGGGGCAAUACAUUCAUGCAAGGUUGGUGGCGCCUUAGAGAUGGGCGAGUGUCUGAGAAGACCUGCUCGGAGCACACUGCACUCUUUGAUCCUCCCUGGUGUCUGGUGCCUUCUAUCUUAAAAAACAUGACAAGUCAUAACAGUUUUAAAGGGAAGACUUGUAAACUGGAAAAUCAUGUAUUUCUAAAGGCUGUGUACCUAUAAAUUAGUUGAGAAAGCUCUGUUUCAUUUAGAGUUUUAAAGGAAUAUUCUCUCUUCAAUUAAGGAAUUUUCAUAAUGGAAUGGUUUAAAUUGAAGUGAUAAAGAAUAUUAUUAGAAUAAAAUGUUUGUAUAUGUAUUUGUGUAUUAAAGAUGUAUUGAGUAAUUUUGUAUUUUUUACAUAUAAAUGUGCUAAAUUACUCUAAAACUGGGUGCUGCUUCCUUAAGUAAUCUUACUUUUCCUAAGUAAAUUUAAAUGCUUAAAAUAAAAAAAAAAAAAAGAAAGGCAAGGAAAAACUCUGCUUAA